GGAAGUAAAAGUCGUAACAAGGUUUCCGUAGGUGAACCUGCGGAAGGAU
rnacentral:rRNA from 16 species